rnacentral:lncRNA from 1 species
UCUGAGGUGCAUAUUACUAAGGAAUGAUUUGGGGGAUUUGAGGCAUGUUUUUUUCACUGGCCAGUUAGGCUGACGCCAUGGUAAGGCUCAUGAGGUCUCCUCUGUGUUUUUCAGAAUCUGCAUGGUUACGACCCAGUGUCAUGGCCACACACUGUCUUCAUCUGACUCUCAGCUCAGUUACCUUCCCCAAAGGCUCCAACACACCAUGAAGUACCCCCCUGGGGCAGCCCAUGGAGACAGUCAUUGUCUGGUUCAGAGUUGGCUGAGAUUCCAGGGAACUUGAAAUCACAUAUGCAUUUU